AAUAGAUACCCUGGUAGUCCACGCCGUAAACGGUGGGCACUAGGUGUGGGCGACAUUCCACGUCGUCCGUGCCGCAGCUAACGCAUUAAGUGCCCCGCCUGGGGAGUACGGCCGCAAGGCUAAAACUCAAAGGAAUUGACGGGGGCCCGCACAAGCGGCGGAGCAUGUGGCUUAAUUCGACGCAACGCGAAGAACCUUACCAAGGCUUGACAUACACCGGAAAACCCUGGAGACAGGGUCCCCCUUGUGGUCGGUGUACAGGUGGUGCAUGGCUGUCGUCAACUCGUGUCGUGAGAUGUUGGGUUAAGUCCCGCAACGAGCGCAACCCUUGUCCCGUGUUGCCAGCAGGCCCUUGUGGUGCUGGGGACUCACGGGAGACCGCCGGGGUCAACUCGGAGGAAGGUGGGGACGACGUCAAGUCAUCAUGCCCCUUAUGUCUUGGGCUGCACACGUGCUACAAUGGCCGGUACAAUGAGCUGCGAUACCGCGAGGUGGAGCGAAUCUCAAAAAGCCGGUCUCAGUUCGGAUUGGGGUCUGCAACUCGA
rnacentral:rRNA from 1 species